CACGUGCGAGCAGGCAAUGCAAAUGGCAUCCCUGGAGGGUUUCUCCCUAGAUUCCCGGCUGUCGUCUGAGUUAUUUGGCGCAUCUUGUAUUGGGUGAAGCAGGCUCAGCAACUUCCGGAGGAGUUCUGUUACGCUGCUCUGUUCUGUGUGGUUUGGUUCACAUCUUUUCGGUAUUGAGUUACAAUGCCUGGACCACAUUUCUGCUGAUCUCAGUUCCAUGUCCUGCGUCAAGGCAUCUGUAAUGGAAGUGGGAAUCUGUGAUGGAGAAACUGUGUAGUUCCAGUGUCAAGUAGAAGUCCCAAGCUGUGCAGGGUGAGGAUAGGAUGGCAGUGCCUGAAGUCAUUCAUUCAUUCAUUCCCUACCAAACAUUAACAUAAUUAGUGCCGUUGCUUGUAAGAGCAAUAGACUGUAAGUUUCCUCUUCAGACGUGAUUCUGCCCUUAAAUCUCAGCUGGCCUUCUGAUCAAUAAUGAUGGAAGCAAUGAUGACGCACAAUCUGGAGACUAGAUCUCCAGAAAUCAAGCCCUUAAGGACCCAGCAGAAUGCUGCUCUCCAUUGGAAGAACAGAGGCCACUUGGAGAAGCCCCUCGGCCUUCCCUGAUGGUUGUCUUCCCACCUGCUGUUCUCCAGUUAAUACAAGUUCAACUGUCUACUCCAUCUCUGCUGACUGAGGAGGCACCAGAGAGCCCAGGUUUCACCAUUCUAGAAGCACCUUCACUUCUCCCGACAUCAGCCUAAGAAAGCAAGAACAAGACUGGGCUGGGAAUCAAGCCAAGGGUCUUUCAUACAGGAGGUGAAGUCCUAUUCCUAAGCUGCAGCUCCAAUCUAUGGGAUGAAAUUUUCUGGGAUUCUUCAGUGGUGAGAGACUUUGAUAUACCUCACUAGGAACCGAGGCCAUAGUGUGUAUGCAACUUUAGCUUCAACAAAUACUGUCAAGUUGUUCUCCAAAGAACUUGUGCUGAUUUCUAUAAUCCUUUAUCCUUGAAUGUUCCUGUAAGCCCUUCCUUGCCUCUAGUUCUAGAACACAAAACAGAAAUGCAAGUCAAGGAAAGAAAACAAAAACAAAACAAAACAAAACAAAACAAAAAACCCCACAAACCCUCCCCAAAAAACCCCAAAAAACAAAAAAUAAAAAAGGAAAGAAAACAGCAUCAUGAAUCCAUUCAUCACCAAGGGAACGUGUUCUGAUUGUCUUUGUCCUGUCUAGAAGAACUUAUUGCAUGUGACCACCUCCUUUCAAACACAAUUGGUGUGUACAGGGGGAAGCCCUGACGAUGGGGCAUUUGGAAGUGGAGAUUUAAGGGCACGUGUGUUGAUUGCCUAAAAACU